GGCUGCUGAUUCUGAUGACCAGGG
rnacentral:siRNA from 1 species